rnacentral:rRNA from 1 species
AUACGGAGGAUCCGAGCGUUAUCCGGAUUUAUUGGGUUUAAAGGGAGCGUAGGUGGGAUAUUAAGUCAGCUGUGAAAGUUUGGGGCUCAACCUUAAAAUUGCAGUUGAUACUGGUUUCCUUGAGUACGGUACAGGUGGGCGACAUUCGUGGUGUAGCGGUGAAAUGCUUAGAUAUCACGAAGAAGUCCGAUCGCGAAGGCAGCUCACCGGGCCGGAACUGACACUGAUGCUCGAAAGUGCGGGUAUCAAACAGGAUUAGAUACCCUGGUAGUCCGCACAGUAAACGAUGAAUACUCGCUGUUUGCGAUACACGGUAAGCGGCCAAGCGAAAGCGUUAAGUAUUCCACCUGGGGAGUACGCCGGCAACGGUGAAACUCAAAGGAAUUGGCGGGG